rnacentral:miRNA from 1 species
AUUGGAAUCAACCAGGGAUUUGUUAAAAUGCAGAUUAUGAUUCAGUUUUCUAGGUUGAGGCUCAGUCUCUGUGUUUUUAACAAGUUCCCAGGUGAUGCUGCC